ensembl:lncRNA
UAGACGUAGAGUUGAAAUCAGUCUCCAUGGGCCGUGCACUGAAAGUACAGUGAACAGAAAGACACAUCAUACUGUUCAGAACCCAAUCUGAAAACUGACAAACUGCAAACCUCAUUAAACACGGGCUCUCUGUUGUAGGAGGGGACCACAUGUCCUGGCACACAUCCACACACUGCGAAGGGCCUGGGGGAAAGGUCUCUCAUUGGGAAGGGACUGGAUAUUUGCUUUCUGGUUCACUUUACUCCAUUUCUGGCUGCUCAGCAUGCCCCAGACAAUGAUGCAGAAGGUCAGUGAUGGUAAUGCAAGGAGUCAUUUGAGGAAUCUGAAGAGAGAACAGAAAGCUGAUGACAACUCUAAGAUACCUGACCUGCUCUAGGAUUACAAGAGCCCCCAUUCCUGUUACACGACAGAGGUCAGAAUUUACU